CCGGGUGACGCUACGUCACGUGAAUGGCACAUGCGCAGACACAUUUAGCCACAAUGUCAUUUUUCGUGAGGACGACCGACCGCCAUUUUCUCCUGGCUGAAAAAGAUGUUCCUUAAGACGUUUUGCCGACUGAUGCAGAAGGCGAGAUGCUAAAAAGGGAUGGAGAUCGGGAUCCUGGUGGUCACAGAAGAGAAUCCUUCUCCCAAAGGACAUCAUUGAUGUGGUGCUUGUUUUGGAAGAGGAAAUAGCUCUUCAUGACCUGAUGGAUGUCCCCAAUGCCUUUGCCCUUCUAAUCGGUCUGCUGUACGCCCUCAACAUGGACUAUCCAAAGGACCCUGAAGUAUACCUUCGAGAUAAUCCAAAAGGUAAUCAUGGACAUAGGAGGAGAUGCAUGCUCAUCAAGAGUACAUGGACUCCGUAACAGACUCCUGCGUAAAACACUCUAAGACUUGUGGAUUUGUCAAGCAGCUGAUGUGAGGGAAGUGUGCACUCUCACACAGUGGAGUAGAAUGGUGUCCUGAGAUUGUUUUGUCCCUUGCGUAAAACACUGAAACUAAAUAGCUUAAUUGUUCCCAAUCCUGUGCCAUACAAUCAUAUGGGAUCUAUUGUGAUUAUCACUCACCUGUCAACUGCAUUAUUUACAGUGUUUUCACUAGGGAUGUCCCGAUCUCAUUUUUUAGCUUCCGAUCCGAUUCCGAUAUUUUCAUAUAGGUUCCGAUCCGAUCCCGAUAUUUCCCGAUACCGGUUUUCCGAUACCGAUUUCCGAUAUCACUUUUUGUGUUGGCAAACAGCAUUUAAUUUAUUUCGUAUACAUUAAGAAAUAGACAGGCAUCCAAGCUGUGCUCAAUAGCUUUUAUUCUCUCACUAUCACAAAUAAGAGCAUUUUUUUUGCAAUAAUAAUAAAAGAAAUCUGAUCUUUCA